rnacentral:misc_RNA from 1 species
GAAAUGCGAUAAGUAGUGUGAAUUGCAGAAUUCAGUGAAUCAUCGAAUCUUUGAACGCACAUUGCGCCCUUUGGUCUUCCUUAGGGCCUGCCUGUUCGAGCGUCAUCUAAACCUUCAAGCCCUGCUUGGUGUUGGGUGCCUGUCCCGCCUCCGCGCGCGGACUCACCUCAAAUCCAUUGGCGGCCCCCGCGUCGGCCACGAGCGCAGCAGAAACGCGAACUCGUGAGCCCGUCCGGGCGGCUCCCAGAAGCUACACCCACCCAGUUUGACCUCGGAUCAGGUAGGGAUACCCGCUGAACUUAAGC